rnacentral:rRNA from 1 species
AGUUUGAUCCUGGCUCAGGCGAACGCUGGUGGCGUGCUUAACACAUGCAAGUCGAGCGCGGUGGCCACCUCCGGGUGGUCAGCUGAGCGGCGAACGGGUGAGUAACACGUGAGUGAUCUCCCUUCGGCUCUGGGAUAACCUCGGGAAACUGAGGCUAAUACCGGAUAGCCGUUCAUCGGGGCAUCUCGGUGAACGGAAAGGUUUCGUGCCGUAAGGCGCGUGUCCGGCCGUUGAUGAGCUCGCGGCCUAUCAGCUUGUUGGUGCGGUAAGGGCGUACCAAGGCGACGACGGGUAGCCGGCCUGAGAGGGUGACCGGUCACACUGGGACUGAGAUACGGCCCAGACUCCUACGGGAGGCAGCAGUGGGGAAUCUUGCGCAAUGGGCGGAAGCCUGACGCAGCAACGCCACGUGGGGGAUGACGGCCUUCGGGUUGUAAACCUCUUUCAGUCUUGACGAAGGCAUCCCUUUUCGGGAUGUGGACGGUAGGGACAGAAGAAGCACCGGCUAACUACGUG